rnacentral:rRNA from 1 species
ACGAACGCUGGCGGCACGCUUAACACAUGCAAGUCGAACGAGAGAAGAGGAGCUUGCUUUUCUGAUCUAGUGGCGGACGGGUGAGUAACACGUGAGCAAUCUGCCUUUCAGAGGGGGAUACCGAUUGGAAACGAUCGUUAAUACCGCAUAACAUAAUUGAACCGCAUGAUUUGAUUAUCAAAGAUUUAUCGCUGAAAGAUGAGCUCGCGUCUGAUUAGCUAGUUGGUAAGGUAACGGCUUACCAAGGCGACGAUCAGUAGCCGGACUGAGAGGUUGAUCGGCCACAUUGGGACUGAGACACGGCCCAGACUCCUACGGGAGGCAGCAGUGGGGAAUAUUGCACAAUGGAGGAAACUCUGAUGCAGCGAUGCCGCGUGAGGGAAGAAGGUUUUAGGAUUGUAAACCUCUGUCUUCAGGGACGAAAAAUGACGGUACCUGAGGAGGAAGCUCCGGCUAACUACGUGCCAGCAGCCGCGGUAAUACGUAGGGAGCGAGCGUUGUCCGGAAUUACUGGGUGUAAAGGGAGCGUAGGCGGGAUCGCAAGUCAGAUGUGAAAACUAUGGGCUUAACCCAUAAACUGCAUUUGAAACUGUGGUUCUUGAGUGAAGUAGAGGUAAGCGGAAUUCCUAGUGUAGCGGUGAAAUGCGUAGAUAUUAGGAGGAACAUCAGUGGCGAAGGCGGCGUACUGGGCUUUAACUGACGCUGAGGCUCGAAAGCGUGGGGAGCAAACAGGAUUAGAUACCCUGGUAGUCCACGCCGUAAACGAUGAUUACUAGGUGUGGGGGGACUGACCCCUUCCGUGCCGCAGCAAACGCAAUAAGUAAUCCACCUGGGGAGUACGACCGCAAGGUUGAAACUCAAAGGAAUUGACGGGGGCCCGCACAAGCAGUGGAGUAUGUGGAUUAAUUCGAAGCAACGCGAAGAACCUUACCAGGUCUUGACAUCGUAUGCAUAGCUCAGAGAUGAGUGAAAUCUCUUCGGAGACAUAUAGACAGGUGGUGCAUGGUUGUCGUCAGCUCGUGUCGUGAGAUGUUGGGUUAAGUCCCGCAACGAGCGCAACCCUUACUGUUAGUUGCUACGCAAGAGCACUCUAGCAGGACUGCCGUUGACAAAACGGAGGAAGGUGGGGAUGACGUCAAAUCAUCAUGCCCCUUAUGACCUGGGCCUCACACGUACUACAAUGGCUGUCAACAGAGGGAAGCAAAGCCGCGAGGUGGAGCAAACCCCUAAAAGCAGUCUUAGUUCGGAUUGUAGGCUGCAACCCGCCUACAUGAAGUCGGAAUUGCUAGUAAUCGCAGAUCAGCAUGCUGCGGUGAAUACGUUCCCGGGCCUUGUACACACCGCCCGUCACGCCAUGGGAGUCGGUAACACCCGAAGCCUGUAGUCUAACCGCAAGGAGGACGCAGUCGAAGGUGGGAUUGAUGACUGGGGUG